UAAUAGUGUAUAUUAAAGUUGUUGCAGUUAAAAAGCUCGUAGUUGAAUGUUGGUGUCGGACGAGCGGUCAGCUUCGGCUGUACUGCUCUCUCGACUCCUUCCUUCUGUGGACUACGUCGCACUUUACUGUGUGGCGCUAGGACGCAGAUCGUUUACUGUGAAAAAAUUAGAGUGUUCAAAGCAGGCCGUACGCUUGAAUACAUUAGCAUGGAAUAAUGGAAUAGGACGUCGGGCCUAUUUUGUUGGUUCUAGGACCGUCGUAAUGAUUAAUAGGGACAGUUGGGGCCGUUUAUAUUCCGUAGUCAGAGGUGAAAUUCUUGGAUUUACGGAAGAUAAACUACUGCGAAAGCAUUCGGCAAGGAUGUUUUCGUUAA
rnacentral:rRNA from 1 species